rnacentral:lncRNA from 1 species
UAACAAACAACAUUAUUUCUCUUGCUAUUAUUUGCAUACAGCAUGAUGUAUAUAAAUUUUAUUAUACAAGAUAUCAUAACCUCAUAUAGUUUUUCUAAGCCAGAAAAGAAAACCUUUAAGUAGACCUUAAAUCACUCCACAAAAUAGGUAUGUCUUGUUACAAAAUCUCCAAGCUUGUUGAUUCUAGUUACACGAUCAUAGUGCUUUAAAAUGUUAUUUUUCUGGAAGUCUUUUUUCCCCUUUACUCAACAUUCUUUUGUUCCACUGAAACUCCUUUUCUUGUGUUUACUAUUCAGUUCAUAUGGGAAAAUGCUAUUAAUUGCCUACGUUAAUAUUUUGCAUUUUAUCUUCAGAGACAUGUGACAGUAAGGAAUCUUACAUUAAUAGCGGUGGUGGCCCAUCUGGAGUGAUCACUGGGAGGAUGCUGGCUGUAGCAGCACAUCAAAUUCCCAGACUUGGCCAGACUCACACACGCAGCGGGACGACUUACCUGCAGAAAGGAGCUACCCACUAGGAGUCUCCUCUCUGCUGAGAGCUGGACACUAGUCAGGAUGACCUGCCUGCAGAAAGGAGCUUCAGGUCUACUGAGAGCUGUUCUGUCACUCAAUAAAGCUCCUCCCUGCCUUGCUCACCCUCCAGUUGUCUGCAUGCCUCAUUCUUCCCGGAUGCAGGUCAAGAACUUGGGACUCACCGAAUGGUGGGACUUAAAGAGCUGUAACACAAAUGAGCUGAAAUUCCUCCCCCCAGUCACCUCACCCCCCAACCAGCCCCGCUGCUCACAACGUUGCAGGCGAGCGACAAAAAAGAAAGAAGAGCUGCGGCCCUUUGGAAAGCCCAGACCUAGGUGCUCUCCAAGCCAGGGCUGUGACACUCUCUUUGGGACUCUGUGGUUCCUGGCAUCUCCAAGCGUCUGAGCUCCAUCGUGUUCCCCUCAUCCACAUGCAGGUGCCCACGGUGGAAGACACUUGCAUCACAUCUGAUCCCGCCACAGCCUUACACGGAGCUGGCACAUGUGCAGCACCUACAGCUGCCCACCCCAAUGUAGCAGCCAACGUGCCAGGCUGUGCGCAGUGGUUGGACCCUACGCUCACUCGCUCACACACCCUUUGCUUCUCUGCACCUGGCUCACACCCUUGUCAGGCAUGGGAUCCAGGCCGGUAGUAUGGCUGAGCAAAGCCUGCUGGGCCGAAUAGGUGGAACAAGCCCAGUGGGCCCAAGCAAAACUCAGGCAUAGGCACUACAGACCACAGAGGUUGGAAAAGUGACACCCUAAGGAUCCUGUGACAAUGUGGCAUUUGAAAUAGAAAGAAAAAAAAUCUUGCUGCAUGUUUUUUGUCUUAUCAAUGACGGGAAUUAAGAUACAUCUGAAUUGCAUAGAACAGUUUUUAAAAAUGAAGUCUCUCUACAUAAAUUAUGAAAGUAUAAAGAAUUAAAUAUAUUCAGAUAAUCAGAAAUUUAAAAUUCAAUACUCAAAUCACUAUACUGUUAUUGUAAAGUCUGUCAUUUUCUCAUCUUGUUUUACUAUGUGAUUAGGUUGACGUAGGAUCAGGGCUUUACUCACCGUUUGUUUUAAUUCAAUGUUCUUUUCUUUCCCACUCUAAUAUCUAUAAAAAGAAAAAUUUAUUAUAGCUUUAUUUUUCUGCAAUAAGAAAAUAUUUGGUUUUUAAAUAAUUGAUAAUAUUUUAUCUCAUACAUAGUCCUUCAUCACAAAUAAGCGAUUCCUGCAACUGUAUAGGGCCCAUAAAAUCAUGUUUAGUAAGAAGGUCAGUGUUGUAAGCUAAGGAGAUUUUGGAUAAUGAAUGACCCUGAAAAGUAAAAUAAUAUUUUGCCAUCUUAUAAUGAUUUCUACAUAUGAAGAGCUAAGGUGGAUACUCCUAGCAGCUUUAUUUUCUUUGUCUUUGAAAUUAAAUUUUAAUAAGUUGAAUAUGUAUUGAAAUAUAGACUGUCACAUUUUUCAAUUUGCAA